AAAUAAAAAUCGGUGUUUUGUUGCCACCUUGCGUGGUGACGCAUCGGAUUUGGGUCGUCUUACCUUCGGUUAAGUGACCUAAAAUUUUUGCAUGAUUUUUCGAACGUAUUUAAAUGAUUUACGUACGUUUGUGAUAUCGAAUUACUAGGUGCGGUCAUUCUCAUGAUUCGCGCCCAUAAUUUCUCAUCA
rnacentral:misc_RNA from 1 species